rnacentral:rRNA from 1 species
AUUGAACGCUGGCGGCAUGCCUUACACAUGCAAGUCGAACGGCAGCACGGGAGCAAUCCUGGUGGCGAGUGGCGAACGGGUGAGUAAAGUAUCGGAACGUGCCCAGUCGUGGGGGAUAACGUAGCGAAAGUUACGCUAAUACCGCAUACGAUCUAUGGAUGAAAGCGGGGGAUCGCAAGACCUCGCGCGAUUGGAGCGGCCGAUAUCAGAUUAGGUAGUUGGUGGGGUAAAGGCUCACCAAGCCGACGAUCUGUAGCUGGUCGGAGAGGACGACCAGCCACACUGGGACUGAGACACGGCCCAGACUCCUACGGGAGGCAGCAGUGGGGAAUUUUGGACAAUGGGCGAAAGCCUGAUCCAGCCAUGCCGCGUGCAGGAUGAAGGCCUUCGGGUUGUAAACUGCUUUUGUACGGAACGAAAAGGUUUGGCCUAAUAAGCUGAGCUCAUGACGGUACUGUAAGAAUAAGCACCGGCUAACUACGUGCCAGCAGCCGCCGUAA